UUCGCCCUUAGAGUUUGAUCCUGGCUCAGGACGAACGCUGGCGGCGCGCCUAACACAUGCAAGUCGAACGAGCGAGAGAGAGCUUGCUUUCUCAAGCGAGUGGCGAACGGGUGAGUAACGCGUGAGGAACCUGCCUCAAAGAGGGGGACAACAGUUGGAAACGACUGCUAAUACCGCAUAAGCCCACGGGUCGGCAUCGACCAGAGGGAAAAGGAGCAAUCCGCUUUGAGAUGGCCUCGCGUCCGAUUAGCUAGUUGGUGAGGUAAUGGCCCACCAAGGCGACGAUCGGUAGCCGGACUGAGAGGUUGAACGGCCACAUUGGGACUGAGACACGGCCCAGACUCCUACGGGAGGCAGCAGUGGGGAAUAUUGCACAAUGGGGGAAACCUUGAUGCAGCGACGCCGCGUGGAGGAAGAAGGUCUUCGGAUUGUAAACUCCUGUUGUUGAGGAAGAUAAUGACGGUACUCAACAAGGAAGUGACGGCUAACUACGUGCCAGCAGCCGCGGUAAAACGUAGGUCACAAGCGUUGUCCGGAAUUACUGGGUGUAAAGGGAGCGCAGGCGGGAAGACAAGUUGGAAGUGAAAUCUAUGGGCUCAACCCAUAAACUGCUUUCAAAAACUGUUUUUCUUGAGUAGUGCAGAGGUAGGCGGAAUUCCCGGUGUAGCGGUGGAAUGCGUAGAUAUCGGGAGGAACACCAGUGGCGAAAGGCGGCCUACUGGGGCACCACCUGACGCUGAAGCUCGAAAAGGGGGGGUAGCAAAACAGGAAUUAAAAACCCCUGGGAAGCCCCCACCCGAAAACGGAGAAUUACUAGGGGGUUGGAAGAAUGACCCCCUUCCAUGGCCACAGUUAACACAAUAAGUAAUCCACCUGGGGAGUACGACCGCAAGGUUGAAACUCAAAGGGAAUUGACGGGGGCCCGCACAAGCAGUGGAGUAUGUGGUUUAAUUCGACGCAACGCGAAGAACCUUACCAAGUCUUGACAUCCUGCGACGAUGCUGGAAACAGUAUUUUCCUUCGGGACGCAGAGACAGGUGGUGCAUGGUUGUCGUCAGCUCGUGUCGUGAGAUGUUGGGUUAAGUCCCGCAACGAGCGCAACCCUUACUGUCAGUUACUACGCAAGAGGACUCUGGCAGGACUGCCGUUGACAAAACGGAGGAAGGUGGGGAUGACGUCAAAUCAUCAUGCCCUUUAUGACUUGGGCUACACACGUACUACAAUGGCGUUAAACAAAGAGAAGCAAGACCGCGAGGUGGAGCAAAACUCAGAAACAACGUCCCAGUUCGGACUGCAGGCUGCAACUCGCCUGCACGAAGUCGGAAUUGCUAGUAAUCGUGGAUCAGCAUGCCACGGUGAAUACGUUCCCGGGCCUUGCACACACCGCCCGUCA
rnacentral:rRNA from 1 species